rnacentral:rRNA from 1 species
GUAGUCUCGCACAGAUGCAUAUCAAUAAGCGGAGGAAAAGAAACUAACAAGGAUUCCCUUAGUAACGGCGAGUGAAGCGGGAAGAGCUCAAAUUUGAAAUCUUCAAGGUUUUACCUUGACGAAUUGUAGUUUAAAGAAGUGUUUUCUGUUGAAGUUUUGGUAAAAGUUCUUUGGAAUAGGACAUCAUAGAGGGUGAGAAUCCCGUAUUUGACCAUUAUUUUCAGCUGUGUGAUACACUUUCAAAGAGUCGGAUUGUUUGGGAAUGCAGUCCAAAAUGGGUGGUAAAUUUCAUCUAAAGCUAAAUAUUGGCGAGAGACCGAUAGCGAACAAGUACCGUGAGGGAAAGAUGAAAAGAACUUUGAAAAGAGAGUUAAACAGUACGUGAAAUUGUCAAAAGGGAAGCGUUUGACACCAGUGUUGUUUUCUCGAAAAUCAAUUAAAAAGAGUUAGAUUUUGUUGUGUAUUGACCUUAACAGCUUGCAUUUCAAUUUUCUUGCUUUUUUUAAUGCACUUUUCGUUUAGCAAGUCAACAUCAGUUUCUUUUGUUGUAAAAAGGUCAUUGGAAGGUGGCUUUCUUUUCGGAGAAAGUGUUUAUAGCCUUUGACUCCUGCAAUCGGAGAGACUGAGGUCUGCAGCGUAGAUCCUUCGGGGUUAGAUACAUUUGUGCUAAGUUAUAGCUUUUUAUAGACAACUUGUUGACUAUGAUUAGUCUUGUAGCUUACUCGCUUAUGCUAUUUUACCUACGCUUAGGAUGUUGAGCGCAUGUCUCUCUCU